rnacentral:misc_RNA from 1 species
CUUGCCCAAAUUUGAGUUUCUGCGAUCUAUAGGGGUUUCAAGAUUGGGAAUUUCUAUAAUUGCUUCUAGGAAUCCAAAUUUAUUGACUCGAAGUAUAAAGCAACAUAUGAUCCCACUUUAUGAGAUCCUUAAAAGUGUACUUGUUUCUGAUAAGAAAGUAGUUACGGCCCUGAAACGCAUGAGACGAAAUUUUUGGCUGUACAGCCUUUCGAAAAAUUUAUCACUCUUGAGAGGGCUUGGAGUCUCUCAGUCUUCCAUCUCUUACUUGCUCAUCCAAAGUCCGUCACUAAUGUGCCAAGAAGUGGGCAAGUUUGCUGAAGGGGUUAAGAAGGUUAUUAAAAUAGGGUUUGAUCCUUCAAAACUUCAAUUUGUUAGGGCACUACAAGUUUUGCUUGGAAUAAAGCAGAAAACAUGGGAGGACAAAAUUGAGGCUUUUAGGAGGUGGGGUUUAUCUGAAGAUGAGAUAUCAUCGAUUUUCAGAAAGAAUCCCUUAUGUAUGGGUCUGUCUGAGAAGAAUAUUAUGUGCAGCAUGAAUUUUCUUGUGUGCAAGAUGGGUUGGCAGCCUGAUGCUGUUGCUAGAGUUCCAACUGUGCUUAAUUAUAGUUUGGAGAGGAGGAUUAUGCCUAGAUGUUCAGUUGUAAGAGUAUUGCUUCUGAAGGGUUUGAUUAAGGCGGACAUCCGUGUAUCCUCGGUGUUGAUUCCUUCUGAAAAGCGCUUCUUGGAAUUGUUUGUGAUCAAGUAUCAAGAAACGGUGCCACAAUUGUUGGAUCUCUUUCAGGGAAAAAUGGGUCUUACUGAACUUGGCUUUGGCUUUGAUGAU